AGAGUUUGAUCAUGGCUCAGGAUGAACGCUAGCGGCAGGCCUAAUACAUGCAAGUCGAACGGAGCAGCAAUGCUUAGUGGCGCACGGGUGCGUAACGCGUAUGCAACCUACCUAUCAGUGGGGAAUAGCCCGGGGAAACCCGGAUUAAUACCGCAUAAGAUCAAAGAGUGGCAUCACUUUUUGCUGAAACAUUUAUGGCUGACAGAUGGGCAUGCGUUAGAUUAGCUAGUUGGUAGUGUAAGGGACUACCAAGGCAAUGAUCUAUAGGGGUUCUGAGAGGAAGAUCCCCCACACUGGUACUGAGAUACGGACCAGACUCCUACGGGAGGCAGCAGUAGGGAAUAUUGGGCAAUGCCCGCAAGGGUGACCCAGCCAUGCCGCGUGCAGGAAGAAGGCCUUCUGGGUUGUAAACUGCUUUUGGAAGGGAACAAAACGGCUCUGCGGAGCAACUUGAGUGUACCUUCAGAAUAAGCACCGGCUAACUCCGUGCCAGCAGCCGCGGUAAUACGGAGGGUGCAAGCGUUGUCCGGAUUUAUUGGGUUUAAAGGGUGCGUAGGCGGCUUGUUAAGUCAGGGGUGAAAGACUGCAGCUCAACUGUAGCAGUGCCUUUGAUACUGAUGAGCUUGAGUAUAGAUGAGGCCGGCGGAAUUUAUGGUGUAGCGGUGAAAUGCAUAGAUACCAUAAAGAACACCGAUUGCGAAGGCAGCCGGCUAAACUACAACUGACGCUGAGGCACGAAAGCGUGGGGAUCGAACAGGAUUAGAUACCCUAGUAGUCC
rnacentral:rRNA from 1 species